UACAGAGGUCCCAAGCGUUUGUUCGGAUUCACUGGGCGUAAAGGGUGCGUAGGUGGUUAGGUAAGUCCGAUGUGAAAUCUCCAGGCUCAACCUGGAAAUGGCAUUGGAUACUAUUAGCUUGAGGAGUGGAGGGGGGGACUGGAAUUCUCGGUGUAGCAGUGAAAUGCGUAGAUAUCGAGAGGAACACCAGUGGCGAAGGCGAGUCCCUGGACACUUCCUGACACUGAGGCACGGAAAGCUAGGGGGAGCGAAACAGG
rnacentral:rRNA from 1 species